rnacentral:sRNA from 1 species
AGCGGAAGGAUCAUUACCGAGUGCGGGUCCCCUUCGUGGGACCCAACCUCCCACCCGUGAUUAUUGUUCCUCCUGUUGCUUCGGCGCGGCCCCCCGGGGCCCGCCGGAGACAUCUUCUCGAACGCUGUCUUUGAACAGGAUUGCUGUCUGAGUAAACAUACCAAAUCGGUUAAAACUUUCAACAACGGAUCUCUUGGUUCCGGAAUCGAUGAAGAACGCAGCGAAAUGCGAUAAGUAAUGUGAAUUGCAGAAUUCAGUGAAUCAUCGAAUCUUUGAACGCACAUUGCGCCCCCUGGUAUUCCGGGGGGCAUGCCUGUCCGAGCGUCAUUACUGCCCCUCAAGCGCGGCUUGUGUGUUGGGCCGCCGUCCCCUGCGCCUCCGGGCAAGGGGGACGGGCCCGAAAGGCAGUGGCGGCGCCGCGUCCGGUCCUCGAGCGUAUGGGGCUUUGUCACCCGCUCAGUAGGUCGGGCCGGGGCCUUUGCCCUCUCCAACCUUUUUUUCCUUAGGUUGACCUCGGAU